rnacentral:rRNA from 1 species
AUUGAACGCUGGCGGCAGGCCUAACACAUGCAAGUCGAGCGAGCGGCGGACGGGUGAGUAAUGUAUGGGGAUCUGCCCGAUAGAGGGGGAUAACUACUGGAAAAGGUGGCUAAUACCGCAUACCAUCGGAUGAGCCCAUAUGGGAUUAGCGAGUGGGGGGGGUAAAGGCGCACCAAGGCGACGAUCUCUAGCUGGGAUGAGAGGAUGAACAGCCACACUGGGACAGAGACACGGCCCAGACUCCUACGGUAGGCAGCAGUGGGGAAUAUUGCACAAUGGGCGCAAGACUGAUGCAGCAAUGCGGAGUGUAUGAAGAAGGCCUUAGGGUUGUAAAGUACUUUCAGCGGGGAGGCGUUACCCGCAGAAGAAGCACCGGCUAACUCCGUGCCAGCAGCCGCGGUAAUUC